rnacentral:tRNA from 1 species
CGGGAUGUAGCUCAGUUUGGUAGAGCGCGCGCUUUGGGAGCGUGAGGUCGCAGGUUCAACUCCUGUCAUCCCGA